UUAAAUUGAAGAGUUUGAUCAUGGCUCAGAUUGAACGCUGGCGGCAGGCCUAACACAUGCAAGUCGAACGGUAACAGGAAGCAGCUUGCUGCUCGGGUGACGAGUGGCGGACGGGUGAGUAAUGUCUGGGAAACUGCCUGAUGGAGGGGGAUAACUACUGGAAACGGUGGCUAAUACCGCAUAACGUCGCAAGACCAAAGAGGGGGACCUUCGGGCCUCUUGCCAUCAGAUGUGCCCAGAUGGGAUUAGCUUGUUGGUGAGGUAACGGCUCACCAAGGCGACGAUCCCUAGCUGGUCUGAGAGGAUGACCAGCCACACUGGAACUGAGACACGGUCCAGACUCCUACGGGAGGCAGCAGUGGGGAAUAUUGCACAAUGGGCGCAAGCCUGAUGCAGCCAUGCCGCGUGUAUGAAGAAGGCCUUCGGGUUGUAAAGUACUUUCAGCGGGGAGGAAGGUGUUGUGGUUAAUAACCGCAGCAAUUGACGUUACCCGCAGAAGAAGCACCGGCUAACUCCGUGCCAGCAGCCGCGGUAAUACGGAGGGUGCAAGCGUUAAUCGGAAUUACUGGGCGUAAAGCGCACGCAGGCGGUCUGUCAAGUCGGAUGUGAAAUCCCCGGGCUCAACCUGGGAACUGCAUUCGAAACUGGCAGGCUUGAGUCUUGUAGAGGGGGGUAGAAUUCCAGGUGUAGCGGUGAAAUGCGUAGAGAUCUGGAGGAAUACCGGUGGCGAAGGCGGCCCCCUGGACAAAGACUGACGCUCAGGUGCGAAAGCGUGGGGAGCAAACAGGAUUAGAUACCCUGGUAGUCCACGCCGUAAACGAUGUCUACUUGGAGGUUGUGCCCUUGAGGCGUGGCUUCCGGAGCUAACGCGUUAAGUAGACCGCCUGGGGAGUACGGCCGCAAGGUUAAAACUCAAAUGAAUUGACGGGGGCCCGCACAAGCGGUGGAGCAUGUGGUUUAAUUCGAUGCAACGCGAAGAACCUUACCUGGUCUUGACAUCCACAGAACUUUCCAGAGAUGGAUUGGUGCCUUCGGGAACUGUGAGACAGGUGCUGCAUGGCUGUCGUCAGCUCGUGUUGUGAAAUGUUGGGUUAAGUCCCGCAACGAGCGCAACCCUUAUCCUUUGUUGCCAGCGAUUAGGUCGGGAACUCAAAGGAGACUGCCAGUGAUAAACUGGAGGAAGGUGGGGAUGACGUCAAGUCAUCAUGGCCCUUACGACCAGGGCUACACACGUGCUACAAUGGCGCAUACAAAGAGAAGCGACCUCGCGAGAGCAAGCGGACCUCAUAAAGUGCGUCGUAGUCCGGAUUGGAGUCUGCAACUCGACUCCAUGAAGUCGGAAUCGCUAGUAAUCGUGGAUCAGAAUGCCACGGUGAAUACGUUCCCGGGCCUUGUACACACCGCCCGUCACACCAUGGGAGUGGGUUGCAAAAGAAGUAGGUAGCUUAACCUUCGGGAGGGCGCUUACCACUUUGUGAUUCAUGACUGGGGUGAAGUCGUAACAAGGUAACCGUAGGGGAACCUGCGGUUGGAUCACCUCCUUACCUUAAAGAA
rnacentral:rRNA from 1 species